GCACUACUGAGGAGUCCCACAAUAGGACGAAACGGCCGUCCAAAGC
rfam:Schistosoma mansoni, Puerto Rico, WGS project CABG01000000 data, contig: 0080